CUUGGUCAUUUAGAGGAAGUAAAAGUCGUAACAAGGUUUCCGUAGGUGAACCUGCGGAAGGAUCAUUAUCGAAAUACUCGAGGAGGGGUUGUUGCUGGUCUUUUGUUUUCAAAGACAACGUGCACGCCUUUUCUUAUCCAUUUCUUUCAAAAACCUGUGAACCUUUUGUAGGCCAAGAGAUUGGUCUACGUUUUUACUUGUCACAAACCCCUUUGCAUGUGCAUGAACGUUUUAUUAUAUUUUUAAUAUAACACAACUUUCAACAACGGAUCUCUUGGCUCUCGCAUCGAUGAAGAACGCAGCGAAAUGCGAUAAGUAAUGUGAAUUGCAGAAUUCAGUGAAUCAUCGAAUCUUUGAACGCACCUUGCGCUCCUUGGUAUUCCGAGGAGCAUGCCUGUUUGAGUGUCGCGAACUUCUCAACCUCGCAACGCUGCCGAGUGUUGGAUCUUGGAGGUUCUGCCGGACUUUUUUUUAACGUCGGGCUCCUCUGAAACGCAUCAGCAGACUAAUUGUUUUUCUUUGCUGGCUUUGGUUUGAUAAAUCUAUCUAUGUCAUCGCCAUCUUGUUAAACGAAAAACGGUCAGCUUACAAUCGUCCNUCUGGGACAAUCGCUUGACGAAWUUGACCUCAAAUCAGGUAGGACUACCCGCUGAACUUAAGCAUAUCAAUAAGCGGAGGAAAAGAAACUAACAAGGAUUCCCGUAGUAACGGCGAGUGAAGUGGGAAAAGCUCAAAUUUGAAAUCUGGCAGCCUAUCUUUGGCUUGUCCGAGUUGUAACCUAGAGAAGCGUCUUUCCGUUGUUGGACCGUGUACAAGUCUCUUGGAAUAGAGCGUCGUAGAGGGUGAGAAUCCCGUCUUUGACACGGACUGCCGGCACAUCUGUGAUGCGCUCUCGAAGAGUCGAGUUGUUUGGGAAUGCAGCUCAAAACGGGUGGUAAAUUCCAUCUAAAGCUAAAUAUUGGCGAGAGACCGAUAGCGAACAAGUACCGUGAGGGAAAGAUGAAAAGAACUUUGGAAAGAGAGUUAAACAGUACGUGAAAUUGUUGAAAGGGAAACGCUUGGAGUCAGUCACGUCGGGCAGGGAUCAACCUUGCUUUUUUUGCUUGGUGUACUCUCUGUUUAUCACCGACGGGUCAGCGUCAAUUUUGACCGUCGGACAAAGUCCAUCGGAAUGUGACAUUUCCUUUGUGAGAUGUGUUAUAGCCUUUGGUCGUAUGCGACGGUUGGGAUUGAGGAACUCGGCACGCCGUACGGUUGUUGCUUAGGAUGCUGGCAUAAUGGCUUUAAUCGACCCGUCUUGAAACACGGACC
rnacentral:rRNA from 1 species